rnacentral:misc_RNA from 1 species
CCAAACUUGGUCAUUUAGAGGAAGUAAAAGUCGUAACAAGGUUUCCGUAGGUGAACCUGCGGAAGGAUCAUUAAAGAACAAAUCACAAAAGGGGGUCUGUAAGACAUUGGCUCAGAGGGAAGGAGAGAGAGGGGCAGGAUGGAUAAUUUUUGCAGCGAUGGGGCCUAUUUUCCCUCUUCCUAUUACAAGGGGAAGGGGGGGGAGGGGCCCACUGGAUGAGACUCCACGGUGCUACUGUUGCCAUUAGUUGAAAUCUCUCAGAGUGGAUCCCCCCUCUGGUUAAUUGAACAGCCUCCUUUUGGUUCAUUUCACACACCCAUCAUGUGAACUUUUGCGUGAGUCGGUAUAGGUCAAGUGGCCUAGAAAGCUUGCGACUUCCACAUACCCCUAUAAACAAGUCCUAGAAUGUACACUUGCGUUUAAUCGCACCCAAUACAACUUUCAGCAACGGAUCUCUUGGCUCUCGCAUCGAUGAAGAACGCAGC